AAAUAUAUAGUAUAAAUAUUACAUUUAAUUUCCAAUUAAAAAAUUUAAUUAAAAUUAAUAUAUUUA
rnacentral:tRNA from 1 species